AUCUAUAGCUAUACCACCCUGGAUGUACCAGAUCUCAUAAGCUAAGCAGGGUUAGGCCUGGUUAGUGCAUGGAUGGGAGACUGAGAAUGCUGCAGAAGUUCUAAAAU
rnacentral:rRNA from 1 species